GACUUUUGCCAUUGCCACCAGCAGGAGCAGCCAGCUUUUCGCCUUUCUUCUGCAACCUGCCAGCCCAACGCAGUUUUAGAAAUCCAGAAAAAGUGAGUAGAAACUAGAGUUUCUGAACAUCUUGGAAGAGCAUCUUCACUGCCACUGAAUCCACUAUCCUCCACGGAAGAGCAUCUUCACUGCCACUGAAUCCACUAUCCUCCACGGAAGAGCAUCUUCACUGCCACUGAAUCCACUAUCCUCCACGGAAGAGCAUCUUCACUGCCACUGAAUCCACUAUCCUCCACGGAAGAGCAUCUUCACUGCCACUGAAUCCACUAUCCUCCACGGAAGAGCAUCUUCACUGCCACUGAAUCCACUAUCCUCCACCCACUCCUUCUUUCUUCCUUUACUCUCAGAAAUCACUAAUAUUUGCACUCUCUUUUUACAAGGAAUUGUAGUCUGAUAUAUUAGGUAAGAUAAGUGCUGUAAAAUGUGCAAAAAAAUGUAUACAAUAUUCAAUAUACAAUAUUCAAACUGGAAGGCCAUAUCAGUUUCUAUGGCUGUGACAAAUAUCUGGGAGAAACUAGUUAAAAGAAGAACUAUUUCUAUUAUCUCACAGUUUGGGGGGUGGGUUAUAGCCCAAGGACAGUUGGUUCUGUUGCUUCUCCUGUGGUAAGGCACAUCAUCAUUGUAAAAGAGCACAGACGUUCACCUCAGGGCAGUCACAAAGCAGAGCGUGAGUAAGCAGGCUUGCCCGGUGGGAUGCUUCUGCCUUUUAUCCCACCCAGUCCUCCUCCAUGCUCUCCGGUGGUGCCAUCCCCACUCAGAAUACAUCAUUCCCCGACAGCUGCUGUCUCACAUGCCAAGUGCUCUAAAUGAUCCUCAUAAAUUUCUAGGCAUCUCUCAACCCAUUCAAAUUGAUAAUCGAACAUCACCCUGAGGCAGUGAGACAAGAGGUUCACAGCCUGAGUUACACAGUGAGAUCCCAUCUCGAAACAAAGUGCAAACAUUAGAGUGGCAUGAAAUGAAACCAGAGGUGUGGAAGCACUCCAGAUACAGUGGUGGACCAGCACUCCUGAUGCUAGCUGUUGCUUCAGGGCCUGGGAAAGAGAAUUUAAGACAAUUCACAAAAAGAGAGGCUGCCAAGAGGUUCUAUUUGCAUUAUACUAUAUUCCUUUCCAGUAACCAAUAUAUCCACUGCUUUCUCCCUUGGUGGAUAUGCUUCUGUAAAAAUCCUACCUAAAUAAACUGAAACAUCAGGCAAUAACCAGUGCAUAUUCAAUAAGCGAACGUCUAGUCACUGGUUAUUUACUGUAUGUUUUAAAAGACU